rnacentral:rRNA from 1 species
AUUGAACGCUGGCGGCAGGCCUAACACACGCAAGUCGAGCGGAGCGGCGGACGGGUGAGUAAUGCCUAGGAAUCUGCCUGGUAGUGGGGGAUAACGUCCGGAAACGGGCGCUAAUACCGCAUACUAUCAGAUGAGCCUCGGUCGGAUUAGCUAGUUGGUGGGGUAAAGGCCUACCAAGGCGACGAUCCGUAACUGGUCUGAGAGGAUGAUCAGUCGCUCUGGAGCGGAGACACGGUCCAGACUCCUACGAGAGGCAGCAGUGGGAAAUAUUUGACAAUGGGCGAAAGCCUAAUCCAGCCAUGCCGCUUGUGUGAUGAAGGUCUUCAGAUUGUAAAGACCAUUAAGAUUGGGGUCGUUACCAACAGAAUAAGCGCCGGGAAUCUUCGUGCCAGAAGCCGCGGUAAUUC